rnacentral:tRNA from 1 species
GGGGGCAUGGCUCAGUGGUAGAGCAUCUGCUUGGAAUGCAGAACGUCCCAGGUUCAAUUAUCAGUAUCUCCA